UACGUAGGGUGCAAGCGUUAAUCGGAAUUACUGGGCGUAAAGCGUGCGCAGGCGGUUGUGCAAGACAGAUGUGAAAUCCCCGGGCUCAACCUGGGAACUGCAUUUGUGACUGCACGGCUGGAGUGCGGCAGAGGGGGAUGGAAUUCCGCGUGUAGCAGUGAAAUGCGUAGAUAUGCGGAGGAACACCGAUGGUGAAGGCAAUCCCCUGGGCCUGCACUGACGCUCAUGCACGAAAGCGUGGGGAGCAAACAGG
rnacentral:rRNA from 1 species